rnacentral:lncRNA from 1 species
AGUCGACAUUUGUUGUUAAUCGGUGCUUCCCCUGAAGGCAGCUAUUACUAUUCAUACACCAAAGAAAUUAGUUUAAAAGCGUCCAACUGAAGCAUGAAUUUACCUUUACAGCUAAGGAAAGCACUGACCAGUAAGAGCCCAGAGGCUCCUCAAGGAGCGUCCACGAAAGAGGCCAACAGCACGGCAAUUACCUAAGGAAAGCACUGCCCUGGAAGAGCCUAGUCGCUCCUCUCAAGAGCCUCUACAAAAAAGGUCGACAACAGGUCAAUCACCUAAGGAAAGCACCGGCCUGGAAGAGCCUAGAGACUCCCCUAAAGACCUGCCACAGAGGCAAAUAGCAGGGUAAUCAGGAUCACACGGGACUGAAGAAACGUCCGUUGUAUUUUACCGGGUGGACGACAAGUACUCGGCGGUCGGCUACCUGCAGCCGGGUCGGAUGACCCUGCAUGGCCAGACUCACCCUGCCGGCGUGGAUGUCGUCCUUGUUAGAUGGGUCGACAACAAGGAAGGGGAAGUGCCACCUCCGCUCGCAAUAGUGGACCCCGAAGAGAAUGCCAAGCUGUGUCCUGGUCAAUUCUUUGCGUUUCCCAGGACCUGCUUGGCCAAAGUUAAAGUUAUCUGAACAGUGGCCCCGUUGUUCAGUGUUUUAGCCUUAGAGAGAGAUAGCGUUUCGUUUUGAAUUCCUUUUCCAUUACUGUUCGUGUAGUGAGCGUCCGCUCACUUUAUAAUUUUCUUGGCAGUGGGAAUUAAAAAACGAAAGUAAUCGUGAGCUUUACUCGUUUUUGCUUCUGAUGAAAAUGCACAUGACGUGGGGAACUUACGUAGUAAUAUCACUGCGAAGAUACCCACUGAAACCGACCUUUAUAGUGAAGGCAAUUUUCCUUUAUAUUUUGAUUUCCUUAUGAUGAUGAUGAUGAUGAUGAUGACCACGACGACGAUCGUGAUGAUGAUGAUGAUGACCACGACGACGAUCAUGAUGAUGAUGAUGACGAUGACGAUGACGAUGAUGACAAUGAAUAAGUUUUAAGUCUAAAUUUUAAUUGCUGGAAGAAUCUUUAAGUUGUGUUUUAUCAGCAUACAGAUUGUUUUAUGUGCCAUAAUAUCUUUAUGUAAAUGUAUAUCAA